CUGUGUUCACUCCUCCCUUUCCUCCGCGGGGCGAAGCCCGGGUUAACCCCUUCCUUCCCAGAGCCCCGCCAGCCCUUUCGCUUCCUCUUCCACGCCUGCCUUUCCCUUGCUACCCCCUCGCAUCUCCUUCACCUGCAGGCUCCUUUUAACCCUUCCUUUCCAGAGUUGUCUAGGUAGCUUUCAACCAAUCCCUUUUCUCCAACUCAAAGCUCAUCUGACCGAACAUAAAGCCUUGGACAUCUAGCGCGACCACCUGAGAAAGCCACCUCCUUCGCACCGGGCUUCCUUAGAGCAAGAUCCCAGGAGGUGAAGUGUCUCUGGGAGGCCCGGAGCCCGUCCUUCAUCAGCGGCCCAGCUUCUCUUGGAGAAAAUGUGACGCGCCCUCUUGUGGCCGAAUGUGGUAUCUCCCAUCGUGGGUUUAGGGCCCGACCCGCCACUUUGAUGCUUUCUUUGCUCGGUGACAUUAGCCUAAUACGUGUUAGGCUUUAUGCUGGGAACAGGGAACACAGACAGGAUCAAGAAAUGGCCUUUUUCCUCGAUGAUUUCAUUUCUAAGUUUCAGAGAUAGCUACAUAAGUAAAUAAUUAGCUAUAACUGAAUGUGAUUGUAAUACAGACCUCACAGAGCAAAGCUUCACAUAUGGAAGGGCCUCUUAGCUGGAUGAAUAAUAAGCUAUAUGCCAGGCACUGUUUACAGGCAUUAUCUCAUUUAAUUCUCUAUUUUAUUAUUCUUAGCCUCAUUUCAUAGAUAAGAAAACCGAGACUCAGGGAUCAUUCUCAACUGCAAAUCUGACCUUAUUACUUCCUUGCUCACAGCCUUUCAAUGGGCUAUUUUUUUUUUUUUUUUUUUUUUUUUUGAGAUUGAGUCUCCCUCUGUCGUCCAAGCUGGAGUGCAGUGGCACAACCUUGGCUCACUGCAAACUUCUCCUCCCAGGUUCAAGCGAUUCUCCUGUCUCAGCUUUCC
rnacentral:lncRNA from 1 species